GCCUUUCUGCACUGAAGCAACUCUCCCUGGACAAUAUCUGGCCACUUAAGACUCUGAGAUGAAUGUUGACUUCUGUCCCCUCUAAGCAUCUGAGUCUCAAAGCUCCAUCAAGAUGAAGUUACUUCUUUGGGCCUGCAUCAUGUGUGUCGCUUUUGCAAAGAGGAGACGUUAUCCCUUCAUUCACAAGGAUUACUUUGGAAAUCGCUACCCACUUAAACCAUCUCUGAAUAUCCCCUAUGGCCUAUGGAAUGAUAAUUUGCCACCUUUUGUUUUGCCUCCUCUUAACACUCAACAAGGAAACGCCAUCACCAAAUUCUCCGGAAAUUCUGAGCUUGAAAGAGGGCUAUCUCUAUAUCCUUGGAUUCCCACUUCUCCCAAAUUUCGCUAUAUAUACCAAAACUAUAACUACCCCGCAGAUGCGCCACUGAAUGGUCCUGCAAUUGUUCCUCUUCCUCCUCCCCGACCCUUUCCUCCCAGGCCAUAUCCCUUUGUCAUCCCUCCAAAGAUUUCUGUCAUCUCACCCAUUGGACAUGAGCCUGUAGCAGCUUCUGCUGUGCCUGCUGAAGGCGAGGCUUUGGUACCUGAGAUCCCUGUAGAUAAACAUAUUGCGGGUCUGCCUCCGGUGAUCAAACUUGCAACACCCAUGCCACCCUCUGAACCCAAAUCUCUUGCACCUGAACCUGCUCCAGCCCACUUUGCUGCACCCGAGCCUGUCCCAGUCCAUUUUCUUGCACCGGAACCUGCUCAUCCCCAGCCAGAGAUGGCUGUGCCUGCCGCACCCCACCCCAUGGCACCUGAACCCGCUGUAGCCCUAUCUGUGGGAGCACAGCCUCUAGAAGCUGAAACCCCUGCAGGCCAGUCUCCUGAGAACAAACCUACUUCAGGUGAGCUUGCUGUAGCACAGUCUCUGCCGACCUUGCCUGCUGCAGGCCAACCUCCUCCGGAUGAACUCAUGGCAAGCCAGUCUCUUGUGGGAAAACUUAUUACAGCUGAGCCUACUGAAGCAAAACAGGAGGGACCUGAACCUUUUGAGGCCAAAUCUGCUAGCCACGAACCACAGCCGUUUUCUACCAGAUGCUGAUGAACCAAUCAAAGAAACCUAAACAUUCUUUCUUUUCCCAACAAAUAUUCCCUGUUUUAUUAAAGCUAUCAGUCUCUCCAC
rnacentral:lncRNA from 1 species